rnacentral:rRNA from 1 species
GUAGGUGGCAAGCGUUGUCCGGAAUUAUUGGGCGUAAAGCGCGCGCAGGCGGUUCUUUAAGUCUGAUGUGAAAGCCCACGGCUCAACCGUGGAGGGUCAUCGGAAACUGGAGAACUUGAGUACAGAAGAGGAAAGCGGAAUUCCACGUGUAGCGGUGAAAUGCGUAGAGAUGUGGAGGAACACCAGUGGCGAAGGCGGCUUUCUGGUCUGUAACUGACGCUGAGGCGCGAAAGCGUGGGGAGCAAACAGGGAUUAGAUACCCUGGUAGUCCACGCCGUAAACGAUGAGUGCUAAGUGUUAGGGGGGUUUCCGCCCCCUUAGUGCUGCAGCUAACGCAUUAAGCACUCCGCCUGGGGAGUACGGCCGCAAGGCUG